UACAGAGGUCUCAAGCGUUGUUCGGAUUCAUUGGGCGUAAAGGGUGCGUAGGCGGCGCGGUAAGUCGGGUGUGAAAUCUCGGAGCUUAACUCCGAAACUGCAUUCGAUACUGCCGUGCUUGAGGACUGGAGAGGAGACUGGAAUUUACGGUGUAGCAGUGAAAUGCGUAGAUAUCGUAAGGAAGACCAGUGGCGAAGGCGGGUCUCUGGACAGUUACUGACGCUGAGGCACGAAGGCCAGGGGAGCAAACGGG
rnacentral:rRNA from 1 species